rnacentral:tRNA from 1 species
GCAGCUCAGUGGUGGAGCGCUUGCCUAGCACGCAUGAGGCCCUGGGUUCAAUCCCUGGCG